rnacentral:rRNA from 1 species
GACGAACGCUGGCGGCGUGCUUCACACAUGCAAGUCGAACGGUAAGGCCCUUCGGGGUACACGAGUGGCGAACGGGUGAGUAACACGUGGGUGAUCUGCCCUGCACUUCGGGAUAAGCCUGGGAAACUGGGUCUAAUACCGGAUAGGACCACUGCCUGCAUGGGGGGUGGUGGAAAGCUUUUGCGGUGUGGGAUGGGCCCGCGGCCUAUCAGCUUGUUGGUGGGGGGAUGGCCUACCAAGGCGACGACGGGUAGCCGGCCUGAGAGGGUGACCGGCCAAACUGGGACUGAGAUACGGCCCAGACUCCUACGGGAGGCAGCAGUGGGGAAUAUUGCACAAUGGGCGCAAGCCUGAUGCAGCGACGCCGCGUGAGGGAUGACGGCCUUCGGGUUGUAAACCUCUUUCAGCACCGACGAAGCGCAAGUGACGGUAGGUGCAGAAGAAGGACCGGCCAACUACGUGCCAGCAGCCGCGGUAA